UUGGAACUCACAGAGACCCGCCUGCCUCUGCCUCCCAAGUGCUGGGAUUAAAGGUGUGCGUCACCACCACCCGGCUUUUUUUUCUCUCUUGAUAAGAGCCAUUGGGUCUUGUUCUGCUUCACUCAUGGGGAAUAGGCCUACCAAAAUCCGUUUUCCGGCACUUUAUAUCCUGAUAUUUUACAGGACUUUUGCAACAUUCUGCCAGAACCGUGAUAGAUGAUGAAAGAGGUAUCACCCCUUCACCCUUUCCCUCUCCUGCUUUCCCUUCCCCAAUAGACCUCUUACAUUAACUCUGUUGCGUGCAGCAUGCUUGCUUAGUGAUAGUCUACCAAAAUGUAAUCACUACCCAGCUGCUCCACCCUCAACAGAUCUGUUCUCUUCCACCUGCAACAACCUGCUUUUGCGUUCACUGGUGGCUUCGUCUUCUAUUCGUCUUCUAUUCAGUAUUGACAACUGGGUCUCUUACACGGCUACCCACCUCUGACCACUCCCCUGGAUGUGAGAUUUCAUUUCUCAAGCACAGUCCUCUCCUCGACUUCCGGCUUUUCUUGAAGUACUGGCACCAGGUGACUGUGUCUCUCUUGGGCUCAGAACCCUUGGCCCCUGCUCUGUGUUUGAAUCGCUGAGCAACCUGUGCUGUCUCAAAAUCGACCCUCUCUGAAUUCCUGGGACACUAGGAAUUGCAGCCCCUUGGGUCUUCUCUGCCUUGCUCAUGGGAACUGUGUGGUCCUUUAUACCUCCUCGCUCCCGCUGGGAUGGUUUUGGAGCCCCACUGACCAUUCCUAACCAGCUAUUGUUGCAGGACUACCGGCUGUUGGCCAUAGAGCUGGAGGUGCAAGACGACCAAACAUGUCUGGGUGGUGAGAACCAGCAGCACCCCAGAGGGACAGUUUCUCUGAUGACAGCUGAAGGUCCUUCACAGUGGCUCCCCUUCCAUCUGAUGGUGUCACAGUAGCUCCUUUCUUCCUGAGCUCCAGACUCUGCGCAGCCCACCAGACAUCUCCCUCCACUGUUAAAAUGGGAGCUUUCAGUCUUCUCCCGGUGCCGGGCCUGCCGCUCGCUGCCUUGCCUUCCCACCACGGAGGACUCUUACACCUGGAGCUGUAAGCCCCGAAUAAAGCCUUCCGUAAGUUGCCUUGGCCACGGUGGUUCCAUCACAGCAGCAGAGGAGCAGCUGUUGGAGCACAGACCUAGAAUGGAGUCACGUGAGAAGAAUCCAGCGUGCGCGUGAGAAAACAAGACGAAAGUCUUGGGGCCUCCGUUUCUUCAGAACACGGAAUUGUUCUUGGGAUGUGCACUUGUGCUCCGGAACAGCAGAUAGGCCUGCGGUUACUUCAGAUUGUUCACUACGACUGGCUAGUGUCGCUAUGGAAACCCAGGCCUUUGCAGCUGUGGCUUGCCCACCACACGCUGUUUGUCCUUGUGAAUGGAUGCUUUACCCAGGAGACUCUUAACUCUCGGGGUAUAAACUGUCUGAAUAGAGACGGCUAUCACAUGA